rnacentral:rRNA from 1 species
AUUGAACGCUGGCUGCAUGCCUUACACAUGCAAGUCGAACGGUAACAGGUCUUCGGAUGCUGACGAGUGGCGAACGGGUGAGUAAUACAUCGGAACGUGCCUAGUAGAGGGGGAUAACUACUCGAAAGAGUGGCUAAUACCGCAUGAUAUCUACGGAUGAAAGCAGGGGAUCGCAAGACCUUGUGCUACUAUAGCGGCCGAUGGCAGAUUAGGUAGUUGGUGGGAUAAAAGCUUACCAAGCCGACGAUCUGUAGCUGGUCUGAGAGGACGAUCAGCCACACUGGGACUGAGACACGGCGCAGAGUCCUACGGGAGGCAGCAGUGGGGAAUUUUGGACAAUGGGCGAAAGCCUGAUCCAGCAAUGCCGCGUGCAGGAUGAAGGCCUUCGGGUUGUAAACUGCUUUUGUACGGAACGAAAAGCCCCGGGUUAAUAUCCUGGGGUCAUGACGGUACCGUAAGAAUAAGCACCGGCUAACUACGUGCCAGCCGCCGCCGUAA